CCCCACCAGCUCCGCACUUUCUUGAGCCCCGCACCCGAGUUCGGCGGAAGGUUGCUGCUCCCGGGGCUGGCACCGCGGGCGCCGGGCCCGCCACCGCCUCCUCCCAGACAGCCAUUUUUACCCGCGGAGUAGGCGGCCCGGUCCCCAGAGCGGGCUCGUUCAAACCUCCUCCCCUCCCUCCGCAGCCCAGGGUUUCCCCGGCCUCCUGGGGGACGUGAGAUGGACCUGCAGGAGAUCUUUCCAGUGAUGAAAGAAAUUGAAGAGGACACACAAAAAUGGAAAUAUAUUCCAUGUUCAUGGAUUGGAAGAAUCAAUAUUGUUAAAAUUUCCAUACUACCCAGAGCAAUCUACAGAUUCAAUGUAAUCCCUAUCAAAAUAUCAAUGACAUUCUUCACAGAAAGAGGAAAAAAAUCCUAAAAUUUAUAUGGAACCACAAUAAGACCAAGAAUAGCCAAAGCAAUCCUGAGCAAAAGAAUAAAGCUGGAGGCAUCACAUUACCUGACUUCAAAUUAUACUACAAAGUGAUAGUAAACAAAACAGCAUGGUGCUGGCAUAAAAACAGACACAUAGACUAACGGAACAGAAUAGAGGACCUAUAAAUAAAUCAAUACAUAUACAGUCAACUAAUUUCUGACAAAGCUGCCAAGAACAUACGUUGGGAAAAGGAUGGUCUCUUCCAAAAAUUGUUCUGGAAAAACUAGAUAACUAUAUGUAGAAGAAUGAAACAGAUCACUAUCUUUUGCCAUAUUAAAAAAAUCAAAACAAAAUGGCUUGAAGACUGGAAUCUAAGAUUUGAAACUAUUGAAACUACUAGAAGAAAACGUUAGGGAAAUGCUCCAGAACCAAAUAUUUCUUAGUAAGACCUUAAAAGCAUAGGCAAGCAAAGCAAAAAUGGACAAAUGGGAUCAUGCCAAGCUAAGAACCUUCUGCAAAGCAAACAACAAAGUGAAGAGACAACCCAUCAAGUGGGGGAAAAUACUUGCAAACUACUCAUCUAUCACAGAAUUAAUAGCCAUAAUAUAUAAGGAGCUCAAACAAUAUAAUAGGAAAAUAAUCCAAUUAAAAUUGAGCAAAAGACCUGAAUGGUUAUUUCUCAAAAAAGACAUACAAAUGGCCAACAGGGAUAUGAAAAAAUGCUUAACAUCACUAAUCAUCAGAGAAAUGCAUAUCAAAACUAGGAUGAGGUAUAAUCUCAUCCCAGUUGAAAUGGCUUUUAUCCAAAAUACAGGCAAUAAUGAAUGCUGAUAAAGAUGUGGAGAAAGAGAAACACUCGUACACUGUUGGUAGGAAUGUAUGUUAGUACAGCACUGUGAAGAACAGUAUAGAGAUUCCUUAAAAACCUAAAUAUAGAGCCACCAUAUGAGCCAGCAAUCCCACUCCUGAGUAAAUACCCCCCCCCAAAAAAAAAGGAAAUCAGUACAUCAGAGUGGUAUCUGCCCUCUCACAUUUAUUGCAGCAAGAUUCACAAUUGUCAAGAUAUGGUAUCAACGUAAGUGUCCAUCAGUGGAUAGAUGGGUAAAGAAAAUGUGGUACACAUACACAAGAUAAUAUUUUUCAGCCAUAAAAAAGAAAAAAAGUCCUUUCAUUUGCUGCAACAUGGAUAGAACUGGAAGACAUUAAGUGAAAUAAACCAGGCACAGAAAGACAUUAGUGUGAAUGUUCACACUAAUAUGUGGGAGCUUAAAAAAAAAAAAAAGAACUCAUUGAGAUAGAAGGUAGAAUGAUGGUUACCAGAGCCUGGGAAAGGUAGUGGGGAGGGGGCAGAUGAGUACAAAAUCUGCCCCCUCAGAUUUGGUACAAAAAUACAAUUAGAAAGAAGGAAUAAAGUCUAGUGUUUGGUAGCACAAUAGGGAAACUAUAGUUAAUAACUUACUAUAUAUUUCAAAAUAACUAAAAGAGUGGAAUUGGAAUGUUUCUAACACAAAGAAAUGAUAAAUACUUGAGGUGAUGGAUACCCCAAUUACCAUGGUUUGUUACACAUUGUAUGCUUGUAUUGAAAUGUCAGACGUACCUUAUAAUUGUGUACAACUAUUAUGAAUCCAUAAUAAUAAAAACGUAUUUUAAAAAGAAAUUUUGUGUCCAGUUUCUGAAUGUAUUUUCAUUUUAAAGUAAAACACACAGGAAAAGCAGACAUUUAAGUCCAUAUACUCCUCAUUGUCAGCAACCACUACUUCUGGACACUUCCAGGAUUUUAAUGACACACAGAACACCUCACUUUUACCCUUCUUAUGCUGAUAUAGGAGAUGGAUAAGAAAGUGGACAGUCUUGUGCUCCACUCACUGUGGGUCCACUGUUUUUGGGUUGGGGCAAGGUUCGUCUCACUGGCUGGAGUCCAUUAGCUAAGUGGCCAUACUGGCCACAGCUCAAAGCUUUAUCAAGUGAAUUUCUGUUGUAGUUAGCCAAAUAUUUUAUGUUCUUUUGGUUUGUUUUUAAUGGAGACUUUAAGAAAUUGGCAUUAAGGAUAGUUGUUAAAAUCCCAAGCUGGGGAGUGAAGGAG
rnacentral:lncRNA from 1 species